AAAUUACAUUCAGUGUUUAUUUUCCUUAAAAGAUCUAUCAUCAUAAUUUCCUGCCAGUCACAAGUUGAAAAUGAUGUUUUUAGUGAAAAGGUGUUUUGCUCCUUGUUUUACAGUUAAAAAGUCUAAUUGUAUUAGUCUAGAAUGUGGUUCCAAAUUGAUUGCAUUCUACACUGCCUUCCUUCAUUUCGUGGUAAUGUUUUAUUGUGCUGAUUUAUUAAGAGGAGGAAGAUCUGAUGAUGUUGCUUCACCUUUCUUUCAUAUGGACAAAUCCAUCAAACCGUUUGCAACAUUUGGUAUUAUUUAUUGUGUCUGCUUCAUAUUUUUUUCAUUCCUGUUGUACCUUGGAAUUAAAAAGGAAAUAAGAUUUCUGUAUCUAUUCUGGAUAAUUUGCACCCUAGUUGAGUUACUUGGAGUUUUCUUCACAGGUUUAUUUCUCAUCUAUCGAUACAGAUAUUUUUCAUAUGCUAUAUAUUCAUUCUUCACACUCUGGAUUUAUGGAGGUUACCAUUUUUACCUUUGGUGGGUGAUUAUCUCUCAGUAUUAUUAUCUCAAGGUAUUCCAGGAACCGACUUUCCUCGUUUUGUACACUUGAUCAGCC